rnacentral:rRNA from 1 species
UUUAUCGGAGAGUUUGAUCCUGGCUCAGGACGAACGCUGGCGGCGUGCCUAAUACAUGCAAGUCGAGCGGACAGAUGGGAGCUUGCUCCCUGAUGUUAGCGGCGGACGGGUGAGUAACACGUGGGUAACCUGCCUGUAAGACUGGGAUAACUCCGGGAAACCGGGGCUAAUACCGGAUGGUUGUCUGAACCGCAUGGUUCAGACAUAAAAGGUGGCUUCGGCUACCACUUACAGAUGGACCCGCGGCGCAUUAGCUAGUUGGUGAGGUAACGGCUCACCAAGGC